rnacentral:rRNA from 1 species
CAGUAGCCGCGGUAAUACGUAGGUGGCAAGCGUUGUCCGGAAUUAUUGGGCGUAAAGCGCGCGCAGGCGGUUUCUUAAGUCUGAUGUGAAAGCCCCCGGCUUAACCGGGGAGGGUCAUUGGAAACUGGGAGACUUAGAGUGCAGAAGAGGAGAGUGGAAUUCCAUGUGUAGCGGUGAAAUGCGUAGAUAUAUGGAGGAACACCAGUGGCGAAGGCGACUUUCUGGUCUGUAACUGACGCUGAUGUGCGAAAGCGUGGGGAUCAAACAGGAUUAGAUACCCGUGUAGUCCCUGUCUCUUAUA